GCUACCCAAAGUGCAGAGACAUGAAACAGAAGGUGGGCAGUAAAGUUCAUUCCAGGUCAGCGGCAGCAGAAGGACAUGGGCUCGGAGACUAAUGCACAGUGCGCUCUCUGGAGCAGUGACUGGGACCUGGGUAUUCACAGCGCCGGUCACAGACAGCUGGGGGUGAAACUCUCACUGAUGUAUCCAGUUUUGCCCCUCCUAGUCCCUAGCGUCCACGAGAAGGGUUUUAAAAAAAUUUGUCUCGGAAAAUCCAUCUUGCAGUGUGUGGAGGACAUUAAUUCUGUCUGGGAGAGAGAUGAAACAGAGGUGUCCUUCAUUCCUUAACGACAAAACUCACAGAAGUCUUGGCAGCCUCGGGAGCUCACAGCAGUCAUGCAUCAUCUAUAUUUUAAAACUGCGGGCAGAGAGUCUUAAAGACACAGUCUGCUCCUCGCUGACCCAGAUUCCUGUCAUAGUUACAAGAGAAGACAAGAGAAGAAGUGUAGCAUUAGUCUGUCGAGGGAACCCACCGUAGUGCAAACACAGAGCGUCUCAGGACUGACAGGGCACUGUUUACGACAGGGACAGUCAUUUCCUUAAUGCCUUCUCACUUCCUCGUGAUGUAUGGUAGGAUAUGAAAAAGCAGCAAAGCUAGCGGCUUAAAUGAAUAAAUCGGAAUAUUUUAUUAAUGCUGUCCUGUUGUAUAAAUUAAUAAAUCGGAAUAUUUUAUCAAUGCUGUCCUGAUGCUUAAAUUAAUAAAUCUGAAUAUUUUA